rnacentral:rRNA from 1 species
UACGUAGGGUCCGAGCGUUGUCCGGAAUUACUGGGCGUAAAGAGCUCGUAGGUGGUUUGUCGCGUCGUCCGUGAAAACUCACAGCUCAACUGUGGGCGUGCGGGCGAUACGGGCAGACUGGAGUACUGCAGGGGAGACUGGAAUUCCUGGUGUAGCGGUGGAAUGCGCAGAUAUCAGGAGGAACACCGGUGGCGAAGGCGGGUCUCUGGGCAGUAACUGACGCUGAGGAGCGAAAGCGUGGGGAGCGAACAGG